GAAAUGCGAUACGUAGUGUGAAUUGCAGAAUUCAGUGAAUCAUCGAAUCUUUGAACGCACAUUGCGCCCUUUGGUAUUCCAAAGGGCAUGCCUGUUCGAGCGUCAUUUGUACCCUCAAGCUUUGCUUGGUGUUGGGCGUUUUUUGUCUUUGGCUCGCCCAAAGACUCGCCUUAAAACGAUUGGCAGCAGGCCUACUGGUUUCGCAGCGCAGCACAUUUUUGCGCUUGCAAUCAGCAAAAGAGGACGGCAAUCCAUCAAGACUCCUUCUCACGUUUGACCUCGGAUCAGGUAGGGAUACCCGCUGAACUUAAGC
rnacentral:misc_RNA from 1 species